CCCGGCUGAGCCCUUCCUGGCUGGGAAGGGAGCUCUAUUUAUCCCCAGCAGAGAGCCAUCCUGACGGCUCCCAGGCGCUGACCGAGGUACCCAGGAUCUCUGGAGCAUGGAGAAGCCCAGGGCAGGCACAGGAGCAAUGCUGGUGAGUCUUUGCUGCGUGCCUGGGUCAUGUCCAGUGUGCUCCGGUCCCCGAAGCUGGGGACACAGAGUGCUUGCUGGGAGGAAUGAGGUCAGGGACAUCACCCCAGGAUCUGGGCUGUCUGCUGGAAAGCCCGUGAGCUGAGAUGAAGAUCAUGGGGUUGCCAUCCACAGAACAUCAUGAGGUUUGAUCAGAAGAGCUUGGGUUGGAUGGAGGAUGGCAGGAAGUAAAGACACUCACGGGGCAGAGACGAGGCAGGAGAUGCGACACACACGGGUAGAACUGGCUGCUUGUGUUCUCUAUGGACCAGUGCUC
rnacentral:lncRNA from 1 species